GACAGAGGCCUCAAGCGUUUAGGCGGAAUCACUGGGCUUAAAGCGUGUGUAGGCGGAUCGUUAAGUGUCUUGUGAAAUCCCACGGCUCACCCGUGGAACGGCUGGGCAUACUGGCGAUCUCGGGCCAACUAGGGGCAACUGGAACAAGCGGUGGAGCGGUGAAAUGCGUAGAUAUCGCUUGGAACGCCGAAGGUGAAAACAGGCUGCUGGGGUUGUGCCGACGCUGAGACACGAAAGCCAGGGGAGCAAACGGG
rnacentral:rRNA from 1 species